GUGUCUGACCUGAAAAACUUGAAGCCGACAGCUGUAAGUAAACCAUCACGACCUUGACUAAAGGUCAGAAGUGAUCGUGGCUAUUUUCUGUCUGAUAUCUCCCCUCUCCUCUAUCUCUGCAUAAGUAGUUACUGUGCCAGCAGCAGCAGCAGCAGCAGAAGUACCCACACCCAGAGUGCCUUCAGGAGCAAAGACAGGUUUUUAAUGAAAGGUUUCAGAACUGGAGUACAAUUGUUUUACACGACGAAUUGCCCUCCAAAACUGAACCUUAACUUAAACUGUUAUAUCAUGUUGUUCUUGUGUUUGUGUUCUGGCCAUGUUCCGGCCACAUUCCUCCGAUAGUUCAGUUGUGUGCUGGCAUGAUAUUAACUGCUGUAAGGACUAUGAAUUGAUACCUGCCUUCAUGAAUUGAUACCAACCACAAGGGGUGAGUAUGCACUUUUGUCCUUUAUGGGUGUUGUAUUAAAAGCGAUCAAGUAGCACUAGGCACUAACACCUGAAUGAAGGAUUGUUCAUUGACUCAUAUUGCUCCUCCUGCUUCAACAAGUAGAGGUUAGAAGAAUAAAUUUGUUUAGUUUCUGUGGCAAUGAGAUAUUUUCCAUUUGUUUAACAAUGAGAAACAGGAGAAGUAAGAGUAUGGGUGUUUGAGUUGCUACUAACACCAACACUCACAUACAUUGUAAAUUAUGAGGUGACUAACACGUUUUUCCGUUGUAGCUCCCUCUGCGGCACUGUCCAUACCCCCUUCCGACACAACUACCGAACUUCAAGCAUCAUCAGCUGAUGGUGCAGCCUCAAAAGACCAGAAGAGCAAGGUUCCUGUGCCUGUACCAAAGGAGCUGUGGUUUGUACUGAAGGAGACCACAGAUCAGAAAGAAACACAGGGGCCUGAGUCAAAUCCAGGGCCCAGCACAAGUGUUGCUUGCACAUCUGUGCGCAAAGUUCUCACUUUUGAAGACAGCAAUGAAGAUGCUCCUUGAGCUCAGCCAGCCAUUCCUCUUCCAGUGGCUGGUUAUGAGCAUGAGGUGAGUACCUGGAACUGCUCUCAACACCAGAAGCUGUGGAUGAAGACCGAGCUGCAAGGUCUGGGGCCGUGGCCUGGGUGUCGACCAGUGCGUAACCCAGGAAACACAAUUUGACUCUGGCGUCUCCCUCCACAACCUGAGCUCACAGAUACUGUGGCUGAGCUCCCGUCACCAAAUUUUACCUUCAUGCCAUAGAAUCUGUCUGGGAUUCUGAGGCGGGAGUACAUGGACAGAGGACCAUUGGGCAGUUCCUGAGGAAGGAAAACAGACCGCAGGAGUUCAGGUCGUAUGGAGAUCCAGAUGGGUGGUGUGGAGUCUCGGUGUGCAGCUGCUACCUGACUGACUGCCUGCUUGAUGAAUUUCGACGUCAACAGCCAGCCAUAUCCAAACUCCUCCAAGGCACUUUUGGACAGGUCUUCAGGUCUGACCACACCGGAAAGGUGGCGCGAAAAGUCACUCUGGCAUCUGGGGUCAUGUCCAGUUAUGCCGUGAUGAAUGAGCACUGGCUGAUUGUUUCGUGGGUGAUGGUUCAGUCUGAGACAGAGAGGUCUCAGACUCUAACAGUUGAACUGUUUGGAAGUUUUUAGCAAAGCCAAUGAUUUAGUCAGCAUCCUUUUUUGUUUUCUUUUUUAGAUAUUUCUGUUUGAGCUCAGUAGUCCCACAUUGACAGCAGAAGUUUCAUUUUUUUCUUUUUACAUGAGACCGGCAGUUUGAGAACAAGAACAACAUUUUUUACCAUAUAUCAGGCAAUA